rnacentral:rRNA from 1 species
GACGAACGCUGGCGGCGUGCCUAAUACAUGCAAGUCGAACGAGUGGCGGACGGUUGAGUAACACGUGGUAACCUACCCAUCAGAGGAGGGUAACCCUUGGAAACAAGUGCUAAUACCGCCUACGGAUUGAUGGACCCGGGGUGCAUUAGCUAGUGGGUGGGGUAACGGCUCACCAAGGCCACGAUGCCUAGCUGGCCUGAGAGGGGGAUCGGCCACACUGGAACUGAGACACGGCCCAGACUCCUACGGGAGGCAGCAGUGGGGAAUAUUGCACAAUGGGCGCAAGCCUGAUGCAGCCAUGCCGCGUGUAUGAAGAAGGCCUUCGGGUUGUAAAGUACUUUCAGUCGGGAGGCGUUACCGACAGAAGAAGCACCGGCUAACUCCGUGCCAGCCGCCGCGGUAAUUC